rnacentral:rRNA from 1 species
GAUGAACGCUAGCUACAGGCUUAACACAUGCAAGUCGAGGGGUAACGAGAGGAAAGCUUGCUUUCCUUGUCGACGACCGGCGCACGGGUGAGUAACGCGUAUCCAACCUGCCCCCAACUAGGGAAUAACCUUGCGAAAGUAAGACUAAUACCCUAUAAUUUCCUCAGAUGACAUCUGACGAGGAAUAAAGAUUUAUCGGUUGUGGAUGGGGAUGCGUCUGAUUAGCUUGUUGGCGGGGUAACGGCCCACCAAGGCAACGAUCAGUAGGGGUUCUGAGAGGAAGGUACCCCACAUUGGAACUGAGACACGGUCCAAACUCCUACGGGAGGCAGCAGUGAGGAAUAUUGGUCAAUGGGCGGAAGCCUGAACCAGCCAAGUAGCGUGCAGGAUGACGGCCCUAUGGGUUGUAAACUGCUUUUAUACAGGAAUAAAGUCAGCCACGUGUGGUUAUUUGUAGGUACUGUAUGAAUAAGGACCGGCUAAUUCCGUGCCAGCCGCCGCCGUAA